rnacentral:ncRNA from 1 species
UCCCUGGUUGAUCUGCCAAGUAGUCAUAUGCUUGUCUCAUAGAUUAAAGCCAUGCAUGUCUCAGUGCAAGCCGCAUUAAGGUGAAACCGCGAAAGGCUCAUUAAAUCAGUUGUGGUUCCUUAGAUCGUACCCAAGUUACUUGGAUAACUGUGGUAAUUCUAGAGCUAAUACAUGCCGACAGAGUUCCGACCGUCGCGCCGCCCUCGGGCGUCGCUCGCGGGAGGAACGCUUUUAUUAGAUCAAAACCGGCCCGUCGCGGCGCGCUUCGUGCGCGUCCCGAUCGCGGCCCGCGCAAAGACCUGGUGACUCUGAAUAACUUCGAGCUGAUCGCACGGUCUCCGUACCGGCGACGCAUCUUUCAAAUGUCUGCCUUAUCAACUGUCGAUGGUAGGUUCCAUGCCUACCAUGGUGGUAACGGGUAACGGGGAAUCAGGGUUCGAUUCCGGAGAGGGAGCCUGAGAAACGGCUACCACAUCCAAGGAAGGCAGCAGGCGCGCAAAUUACCCACUCCCGGAACGGGGAGGUAGUGACGAAAAAUAACGAUACGGGACUCAUCCGAGGCCCCGUAAUCGGAAUGAGAACACUUUAAAACCUUUAAACGAGGAUCAAUUGGAGGGCAAGUCUGGUGCCAGCAGCCGCGGUAAUUCCAGCUCCAAUAGCGUAUAUUAAAGUUGUUGCGGUUAAAAAGCUCGUAGUCGGAUCUGUGUCUGGACGGUGCCGGACCACCCUGGCGGUCCGUCGUGUCGCGGCCGGCCGUGUCGCGGGACCACGUGUCCCGUCGGCGCGGUCGCCGUCGCGCUCGUCAGCCGUCUCGGGGUGUUAGUUACCGGCACGUCGGCCGGACGUAUUGUCGGCAGGCGGACACGUGUCUCGUGCU